rnacentral:rRNA from 1 species
GUCUAUGGCCAUACCACCCUGAACAUGCCCGAUCUCGUCUGAUCUCAUAAACUAAGCAGGGUUGGGCCUGGUUAGUGCCUGGAUGGGAGACCGCCUGGGAAUACGGGAAGCUGUAGGCU